UACGUAGGGUCCGAGCGUUGUCCGGAAUUAUUGGGCGUAAAGAGCUCGUAGGCGGUCUGUCACGUCGGCUGUGAAAACACGGGGCUCAACUCCGUGCCUGCAGUCGAUACGGGCAGGCUAGAGUUCGGUAGGGGAGAUCGGAAUUCCUGGUGUAGCGGUGAAAUGCGCAGAUAUCAGGAGGAACACCGGUGGCGAAGGCGGAUCUCUGGGCCGAUACUGACGCUGAGGAGCGAAAGCGUGGGGAGCGAACAGG
rnacentral:rRNA from 1 species